UACGUAGGGUGCGAGCGUUGUCCGGAAUUAUUGGGCGUAAAGGGCUCGUAGGCGGUUUGUCGCGUCGGGAGUGAAAACCAUGGGCUUAACUCAUGGCUUGCUUCCGAUACGGGCAGACUAGAGGUAUGCAGGGGAGAACGGAAUUCCUGGUGUAGCGGUGAAAUGCGCAGAUAUCAGGAAGAACACCAAUGGCGAAGGCAGCUCUCUGGGACGGUACUGACACUGAGACGCGAAAGCGUGGGGAGCGAACAGG
rnacentral:rRNA from 1 species